UACGGAGGAUGCAAGCGUUAUCCGGAAUGAUUGGGCGUAAAGCGUCCGCAGGUGGCCAUUCAAGUCUGCUGUUAAAGGUCGGGGCUCAACUCCGGAUAGGCGGUGGAAACUGAAUAGCUAGAGUGCGGUAGGGGUAGAGGGAAUUCCCAGUGUAGCGGUGAAAUGCGUAGAGAUUGGGAAGAACACCGGUGGCGAAAGCGCUCUACUGGACCGCAACUGACACUCAGGGACGAAAGCUAGGGGAGCGAAUGGG
rnacentral:rRNA from 1 species